GGCAGAGUGGCUCAAGUGGUAGAGUGCCUGCCUAGUAAGUAGGAGGACCUGAGUUCAAAUCCCAGUAUUGCCA